AAGCAAGACAGCUUGAAGGAGAGGCUAGGGUGGGAAGGGAAGGGUGGAGAGGAGGGGGAGGAAGGAAGUCAAGCAUCUGUCCUGGAAGAACAACGCAUGCUUUUUAAGGGAAGAGAACAGUCUUUCCCCAAGAGGCGGUUCCAGAUGACUCGUGAUGUUCUAUCCUUAAAAAGGCCGUCACAUGCCUUCCCCAUCGCCAAAGAGACAGGAGUGGAGCAGGGAGACUGAGGACGGGAACUUCUUCCACCCACCUGACCCCGGAGCUCCACUUGCUCAGCCUGACAGACACAGCUGAACUUUCACUAGUCGAGGAAAGAACAUUCUCGCUAGGCUUAAGAGGCCAAGCUUAGGAGUAUUGCUUGAGGCCAGGAAUUUGAGACCAGUCUGGUCAACACAGUGAGACCCUGUCUCUACAAAAUUAAAAAAAAAAUUAGCCAAGUGUGGUGGUGCACCUGUGGUCCCAGCCAUUUAAGAGGCUGAGGCAGGAGGAUGGCUUGAGCCUAGGAGUUGGAGGCUGCAGUGAGCUGCACUCCACCCUGGACAACAGAGCGAGACUCUAUCUCAGAAAAAAAAAAAGACGAAAAAAGAAAAUUCUCAAAGAUACUGAAGACAUUUACCCUCAUCCCUAUCCUCCCUGUGCAAGGCACCAUCCACUUGGCUCUGGACGACGCCCUGCCUGGCUGAGCUGCCCUGGGAGCUGUCAACACGGGUGUGCGUGCUGGUAUUCCAGAGGCUGCAUGCUCACCUGUGGGUGCUGUGGGAGCAAGGACAGUCGCACUGGGAGAAAGGUGUUUCCCUUCAACCUCACGAUUCCCCGAGCCUAUGACUGGAUUCCUGGCCUGUGGUUUUCAAACUUCAGAGUAUAGGCCUUUACUUUUGUUUAAUAACAUGUAGGUUGUACUAACCAGGUGCCAGGCUGUGGUCUAAGUGCUCACAAACAUUAGCUCAUGUAAUUCUCAUCAGAACUCUGUGAGGGUCUCUCUCUCUGUUGCCUGGGCUGGAGUCCAGUGGCAUGAUUCCAGCUCACUGCAGCCUCAAACUCCUGGGCUCAAGCGAUCCUCCUGCUGCAGUCUCCUGAGUAGCUGGGACUACAGGUGCACACCACCGUGCCCAGCUAA
rnacentral:lncRNA from 10 species